GCCUCAUUGGCUCAGGGGCAGAGCGUCUGUCUUGUAAACAGAAGGCCGCUGGU
rnacentral:tRNA from 1 species